UACGGAGGGUGCAAGCGUUAAUCGGAAUUACUGGGCGUAAAGCGUGCGCAGGCGGUUUGUUAAGUCUGCUGUGAAAUCCCCGAGCUCAACUUGGGAAUUGCAGUGGAUACUGGCAAGCUGGAGUACGGUAGAGGAAGGUGGAAUUCACGGUGUAGCAGUGAAAUGCGUAGAGAUCGGGAGGAACACCAGUGGCGAAGGCGGCCUUCUGGACCAGUACUGACGCUCAUGCACGAAAGCGUGGGGAGCAAACAGG
rnacentral:rRNA from 1 species